GAGGGUACAGCUCAAUAGUAGAGCACAUGCUUAGCAUGUGCAAGGUCCUGGGUUCAAUCCCCAGUACCUCCA
rnacentral:tRNA from 1 species